AGAGUUUGAUCCUGGCUCAGGAUGAACGCUAGCGAUAGGCCUAACACAUGCAAGUCGAGGGGCAGCAUAGAGUAGCAAUACUUUGAUGGCGACCGGCGCACGGGUGAGUAACACGUAUGCAACCUACCUACAUCAGGGGAAUAACCCGGAGAAAUUCGGACUAAUACCGCAUAAUACAGGGAUGCCGCAUGGUAAUAUUUGUUAAAGAUUUAUCGGAUGUAGAUGGGCAUGCGUUCCAUUAGCUAGUUGGUAAGGUAACGGCUUACCAAGGCAACGAUGGAUAGGGGAACUGAGAGGUUUGUCCCCCACACUGGAACUGAGACACGGACCAGGCUCCUACGGGAGGCAGCAGUGAGGAAUAUUGGUCAAUGGACGAGAGUCUGAACCAGCCAAAUCGCGUGAAGGAAGACUGCCCUACGGGUUGUAAACUUCUUUUGUACAGGAAUAAAAGACAUUACGUGUAAUGUAUUGCAUGUACUGUACGAAUAAGCAUCGGCUAACUCCGUGCCAGCAGCCGCGGUAAUACGGAGGAUGCGAGCGUUAUCCGGAUUUAUUGGGUUUAAAGGGUGCGCAGGCGGGAUUUUAAGUCAGCGGUGAAAUUUUCAGGCUCAACCUGAACACUGCCGUUGAAACUGGGAUUCUUGAGUAUGGAUGAAGUAGGCGGAAUUCGUUGUGUAGCGGUGACAUGCUUAGAUAUAACACAGAACACCGAUCGCGAAGGCAGCUUACUAAACUUUGACUGACGCUCAAGCACGAAAGCGUGGGGAUCAAACAGGAUUAGAUACCCUGGUAGUCG
rnacentral:rRNA from 1 species